rnacentral:misc_RNA from 1 species
GAACACCGUUGUGGGAAAAGAUAUCCACGCGAUUUUGGGUUCGCCCGACGACAUGAAAUUCAGGUCGUCGAUGACGCUGUUCGCCAACGUGACGCCCGACAACACAGAUUUCGUCACGGCCCUGCAAAAAUACUACGAUGGCGAAUUCGAUGAGGUGACACUUGCGCGGCUUGAGCAUCCAUGAAGCAAAGAAAACAGGCAUGAAGCAGACAC